rnacentral:rRNA from 1 species
GACGAACGCUGGCGGCGUGCUUAACACAUGCAAGUCGAACGGAAAGGCCCUGCUUUUGUGGGGUGCUCGAGUGGCGAACGGGUGAGUAACACGUGAGUAACCUGCCCUUGACUUUGGGAUAACUUCAGGAAACUGGGGCUAAUACCGGAUAGGAGCUCCUGCUGCAUGGUGGGGGUUGGAAAGUUUCGGCGGUUGGGGAUGGACUCGCGGCUUAUCAGCUUGUUGGUGGGGUAGUGGCUUACCAAGGCUUUGACGGGUAGCCGGCCUGAGAGGGUGACCGGCAACAUUGGGACUGAGAUACGGCCCAGACGCAUACGGGAGGAAGCAGUGGGGAAUAUUGCAAAAUGGGCGGAAGACUGAUGAAGCAACGCAGCGUGCGGGAUGACGGCCUUCGGGUUGUAAACCGAUUUCGCCUGUGACGAAGCGUGAGUGACGGUAAUGGGUAAAGAAGCACCGGCUAACUACGUG